GCCACCUUAGCUCAGUUGGUAGAGCGACGCAUUCGUAACGCGUAGGUCAGCAGUUCGAUCCUGCUAGGUGGCUCCA
rnacentral:tRNA from 1 species